ensembl:snoRNA
GCAUGGAUCUGGAUUUAUGGUGGGGUCCCCCCGUGGCCCCUCCAUAGUGUACCCCAUGCAAGAGUGAUCAGCCCCCCUGAACCAUGGCCGCCCUGGUACCCAUCGGUCCCGGUCCCUGAAAUGGGGGGCACAGCU